rnacentral:rRNA from 1 species
CCUUAGUAACGGCGAGUGAACAGGGAGAAGCCAAAUUUGUAAUCUGGCACUUUUUACAAGUGUCCGAGUUGUAAUUUGUAGAACUGUUAUCCGUGCUGGACCAUGUACAAGUCUGUUGAAAAGCAGCAUCAUUGAAGGUGAAAAUCCUGUAGAUGAUAUGGACUACCAGGACAUUUGUGAUACGGUUUCUAAGAGUCGAGUUGUUUGGGAAUGCAGCUCAAAGUGGGUGGUAAAUUCCAUCUAAGGCUAAAUAUUAGUGAGAGACCGAUAGCAAACAAGUACCGUGAGGGAAAGAUGAAAAGAACUUUGAAAAUAGAGUUAACAGUACGUGAAAUUGCUGAAAGGGAAACGUUUGAAGUUAGUUUUGUAUUCGUUGGAUCAGCUUCGCAAGGAGUGUAUUCUGAUGAUAAGCAAGUCAACAUCAGUCUAUGAGUGUCGGAGAAGGGUUUUGAGAACGUAGCAAUUUAGUUGUGUUAUAGCUUGAGACUUGGAUACGAUGCUUUGGAUUGAGGAACGCGUAGUAAGCUUUGAGCGGAUUCGAAAGGAUCUCCUUACUAUGGAUGUUGGUGAAAUAACUUUAAGCGACCCGUCUUGAAACACGGACCAAGGAGUCUAACAUGCUUGCGAGUAUUAGGGUGUUGAAACCCGAAUGCGUAAUGAAAGUGAAUCUAAGAUGUGAUCCGCAAGGUGCAACAUCGGCCGGUCUGGAUCAUUUAUGUGAAGGUACUGAGCAAGAGCAAGUAUGUUAGGACCCGAAAGAUGGUGAACUAUGCCUGGAUAGGGUGAAGUCAGAGGAAACUCUGAUGGAAGCUCGUAGCGGUUCUGACGUGCAAAUCGAUCGUAGAAUCUGGGUAUAGGGGCGAAAGACUAAUCGAACCAUCUAGUAGCUGGUUCCUGCCGAAGUUUCCCUCAGGAUA